AGCGAACGCUGGCGGCAGGCCUAAAACAUGCAAGUCGAACGCCGUAGCAAUACGGAGUGGCAGACGGGUGAGUAACACGUGGGAACGUACCCUUUGGUUCGGAACAACACAGGGAAACUUGUGCUAAUACCGGAUAAGCCCUUACGGGGAAAGAUUUAUCGCCGAAGGAUCGGCCCGCGUCUGAUUAGCUAGUUGGUGGGGUAACGGCCCACCAAGGCUACGAUCAGUAGCUGGUCUGAGAGGAUGAUCAGCCACACUGGGACUGAGACACGGCCCAGACUCCUACGGGAGGCAGCAGUUAGGAAUCUUGGACAAUGGGCGCAAGCCUGAUCCAGCCAUGCCGCGUGAGUGAUGAAGGCCUUAGGGUUGUAAAGCUCUUUCAGCGGGGAAGAUAAUGACGGACCCGCA
rnacentral:rRNA from 1 species